CGAGGACGACUGGCGAUGACCAGGGACUUUUGGAAGGCUGCAUAACAUCGUACUGAAGCAUCUCUUCCACUUGCUGGCUAUUCACUCGGUUCUGCCUGUUGACGAACAUGAAGCUCAUCUCUGCCAUCGUGCUACUGGUGAUUCUCACAGGCUUUCUGGGCAGGGCGUCUGUGAAGACGAAAGGAAGACGACUAUAUCGAACAGGAUAUGCCUAUGGCUGUUGGUUGUUCGGGACGAUAUGCAACAGCCACUGUAAAGGCCAAGGAUACUCUCAAGGCUACUGCGAUGGACCACACCGUGGUACAUGCUAUUGCUCUGGGUAUAAACAGUGAUCAAGCGCCGACUGCACAUAGAUAUUAACAGUAUGCAGAAACCCGCCAAGUGUUUCCUUAUAUCCAUUCGUGCGUUUGCGGUGUUUUAAGCGAAUAAAUCUCUAUGCCUAUUGCCGCUAAUAAAACCUCUGAGGAGCGACUCCAAUUGUGCGGGCCAGCGCAGUGCGUCAUACAUCUUGCUCUCUCGCGGAAACUGCUCAA